GACGAACGCUGGCGGCGUGCUUAACACAUGCAAGUCGAACGGAGUGGCGAACGGGUGAGUCACACGUGGGUGACCUGCCCUGCACUUCGGGGUAAGCCUGGGGAACUGGGUCUAAUACCGGCUAGUGUUGGAUGGGCGCGCGGCCUAUGAGCUUGUUGGUGGGGUAAUGGCCUACCAAGGCGGCGACGGGUAGCCGGCCUGAGAGGGGGGACGGCCACAUGGGGACUGCGACACGGCCCAGACUCCUACGGGAGGCAGCAGGGGGGAAUAUUGCACAAUGGGCGGAAGCCUGAUGCAGCGACGCCGGGUGGGGGAUGACGGCCUUCGGGUUGUAAACUCCGUUCACCAUCGACGCGGUAGAUGGAGAAUAAGCACCGGCUAACUUCGUGCCAGCAGCCGCGGUAAUAC
rnacentral:rRNA from 1 species